GUAUACAGCCAUAACACCCUGAACACGCCCCAUCUCGUCUGAUCUCGGAAGCUAAACAGGGUUGGGCCUGGUUAGUACUUGGAUGGGAGAAAAGCUUCUUGGACGCAGAGGUACU
ensembl:rRNA 5S_rRNA 5S ribosomal RNA